rnacentral:rRNA from 1 species
UACGGGAAGGGGCUAGCGUUGCUCGGAAUCAGCUGGGCGUAAGGUGCGUAGGCGGGUCUUUAAGUCAGGGGUGAAUACCUGGGAGCCUCAACUCCAGAACUGCCUUGAUACGUGAAGAUCUUGAGUUCGGAGAGGUGGAGUGGAACUGCGAGUGUAGGAGGUGAAAUUCGUAGAUAUCGAGAGGAACACCGGCGGCGAAGGCGGCCAACUGGACGAAUACUGACGCUGAGACACGAAAGCGUGGGAGCAAACAGG